GAUGAACGCUGGCGGCGUGCCUAAUACAUGCAAGUCGAGCGAACAGACGAGGAGCUUGCUCCUCUGACGUUAGCGGCGGACGGGUGAGUAACACGUGGAUAACCUACCUAUAAGACUGGGAUAACUUCGGGAAACCGGAGCUAAUACCGGAUAAUAUAUUGAACCGCAUGGUUCAAUAGUGAAAGACGGUUUUGCUGUCACUUAUAGAUGGAUCCGCGCCGCAUUAGCUAGUUGGUAAGGUAACGGCUUACCAAGGCAACGAUGCGUAGCCGACCUGAGAGGGUAGAGGGCCAAACGGGAACUGAGACACGGUCCAAACCCGCAGGGGAGGCAGAAGUGGGGAAUCUUCCGAAAGGGGGAAAAGCCUGAGGGGGAAACGCCGGGGGAGGAAUAAAGGUUUUCGGAUCGAAAAACUUUUUUAUUGGGGAAAAACAAAUGUGAAAGUAACUAUGCCCGUCUUAAGGGGACCAAAACAGAAGGCCACGGCAAACUACGU
rnacentral:rRNA from 1 species